CGGACUCCUCCUCCUUCCGGAAGCGGAGCGCCGGCCCCGCAACGGCCGGGUGUGCCGCAGCUGCAUUGGCGGGCACCGCAGAAGCGGAGGCUGCGGCACCGGGGUGGAGCAUCAUGGACGAAGCCGGGAGCUCCGCGAGCGGCGGAGGCUUCCGUCCGGGCGUGGACAGCCUGGACGAACCGCCCAACAGCCGCAUCUUCCUGGUGAUCAGCAAGUACACGCCCGAGUCGGUGCUCCGGGAGCGCUUCUCGCCUUUUGGCGAGAUCCAGGACAUCUGGGUAGUGCGGGACAAGCACACCAAGGAGUCCAAGGGCAUCGCCUUUGUCAAGUUCGCCCGCAGCUCCCAGGCCUGCAGGGCCAUGGAGGAGAUGCACGGCCAGUGCCUCGGCCCCAACGACACCAAGCCCAUAAAGGUUUUCAUUGCUCAGUCCAGAUCAUCUGGAAGUCAUCGAGAUGUUGAAGACGAAGAACUUACAAGAAUCUUUGUUAUGAUACCAAAGUCGUAUACAGAAGAAGAUUUACGGGAAAAAUUUAAAGUGUAUGGAGAUAUCGAGUAUUGCAGCAUUAUUAAGAAUAAAGUCACUGGAGAGAGUAAAGGUUUGGGCUACGUACGAUACUUAAAACCAUCACAAGCUGCCCAAGCAAUAGAAAACUGUGAUCGAAGUUUUAGAGCAAUCUUGGCUGAACCUAAAAAUAAAGCAUCUGAAUCCUCAGAGCAAGACUAUUAUAAUAAUAUGAGGCAAGAGGCUCUGGGACAUGAACCUAGAGUAAAUAUGUUUCCCUUUGAACAACAAUCUGAAUUUUCAAGUUUUGACAAGAAUGACAACAGAGGCCAGGAAGCCAUCUCCAAACGCUUGUCAGUUGUAUCAAGAGUUCCUUUCACUGAAGAACAGCUUUUCAGUAUUUUUGAUAUAGUACCAGGAUUGGAAUAUUGUGAAGUUCAACGAGAUCCUUAUUCAAAUUAUGGUCAUGGAGUGGUUCAGUAUUUUAAUGUAGCAUCAGCUAUUUAUGCAAAAUACAAGUUACAUGGAUUUCAGUACCCUCCUGGCAAUCGGAUAGGUGUUUCCUUCAUUGAUGAUGGAAGUAAUGCAACAGAUCUCCUUAGAAAAAUGGCAACGCAGAUGGUAGCUGCACAGCUUGCAUCAAUGGUGUGGAAUAACCCAAGUCAGCAGCAAUAUAUGCAAUUUGGAGGAAGUUCUGGAUCACAGUUGCCUCAAAUCCAGACUGAUGUUGUACUUCCACCAUGCAAAAAAAAAGCCCCUCCUGAAACUCCCGUGAAAGAAAGACUUUUUAUCGUGUUUAAUCCUCAUCCUUUACCUUUAGAUGUAUUAGAAGAUAUAUUCUGUCGUUUUGGUAACCUGAUCGAAGUUUACCUUGUAUCAGGAAAGAAUGUGGGGUAUGCCAAGUAUGCAGAUAGAAUAAGUGCUAACGAUGCCAUUGCCACUUUACAUGGAAAGAUUCUCAAUGGGGUCAGACUUAAAGUUAUGCUGGCAGAUUCCCCAAGAGAAGAAUCUAACAAACGGCAAAGAACUUACUGAUUCUUGAGGUAAGCACUUUUUAAUCUGAAUUUUAAUACAUAUUGGCUAAAGCAUAUAGCAAGAGAAAUAUGUGUAAGUACUUUAAUCAUGGACUUUUCUUUUUAGUGAUUGGAAAGUUGUCUGUUAAAAGCACUUUGACUUAAAACUCAGCUGAUAAAGCCAAGUAUUUUUUACAAUAUAUUUUUUGAACUUAAACUAUUGAAAAAAAUGUUGACAUUAACUGGAAGAAUGUUUUUGUUCUUCUAUGAAAUAAGAUCAAAUUUCAGUUCAGAAAAUUAAAUGGUUUUUGUUUGUCAGUAUGUUAAGUUUUAAGAAUUGGACUUUUUACUGUGUGCUUCCAUAAACUUUAAAAAUUGAAUGUUUCUAAAUAUUUUUAACUAGAAGAAUCAGUAUCUUGAGUUAUGAAUUGAUAUAAUUUAUAACAGUAUUUAUAAAGAAUAAUAUAAUUUUUUGGAUAUUUUGAACCUAAAUGUUGGUGUUUUCUGGACUUAUAUUUGUGAAUUUGUGCUUUAAUACUAUACAUCCAGAAAAUAUUCUCAUGUGCAGAUAUUUUUUUUAAAAACUUGACAAUUUACCAAAAAUUAUUAUCUAUUAUAAAUAAUAAUGUAUACAGCCAUAUGAAUUCCUUUUCUUAUGUAUUAGUUUUCAAAAAUUAAACUAUAAUUUUUUUUUUCUGAGACUGUCAUUUUAAUAUCCCUGUGGUUUGGAGAGACAUUCCUUAAAGUUAGACUUUUUUAUUCUGUAAAUGAAUUCUUGGUUUCAGGGGAAGCUGUUUCCCUGUUCUCACACACUCCAGCUUCCCAAGUCUACUACAGGUCAAAUGGUAGUAGUUGGCAAGCACUUUGAAUUCAGUUGGAAGUUACUGGCUUGCAACCAUUUCUUUUUUUCACUUAAGGUUUUCUUUCUGACCAAUUACGUGAGCUAGCGGUUGUCAGAGCGAGUCCUCUCAGCCCUUCCUGCUGAUGGCCCUUCCUCUCAGAGCAAGUCAGAUCUUCUACUUACCAUGGACUCCAUACUGAGAUUCUUCUCCUUUGUUGGUAUAUUAAAUAUAUAUCUUAUUUUAAGUUUUGAUAAAGUACUAUGAAAGACUUUUCCAGAUUUUACAUGAUUGUGACAAGUUUUUUUUUUAUUGGGGGGGUUGUACUUUUUUGUUUGUUUCUUGAAUUUUAAGAGGACACAGACACAGUUUGUGAAGAGCUAAUUCCUCUUGGCUCUGUGAGGAAUAAACCUGGGAUUAAAUGAGCCACGCCUAGGAAAUAGGAGAAGAAACUGAUCUAAGAAUAUAACUUUAAAAAUAGUUGUUCUAUUUUGUGAUAGCUCUGAUGUCCAAAAUGUAUUUCUCUUUCUAUUUGAGGAAAAUAGAAAUUUUAGUAUUUCAGAGCAUCGGAUUUUGUAUUAAUUCACAACAUUUUACCUCUAGAAAUUCACUACCUGCUUGCAUCAUCCUUCUGAGUAAGUUUGGUUUUGUUUAUUUGGGGGCAUCUAUGAUUAAGCAGAUAACAUUGGUUAUACUGAAAUAAGGGAACAAUUCCUAACAUUUUAGGAAUACUAUAUACAACAGCUAUUUCCUUUCAGGUGAUGAUUUUCAUACUUGUGUUGUGUUCUUUCUACAGAACAAAAACUAAAUAAUGACAUAAUCCUCAGCUGACUGACUGAAAAUGUGACUGGACGCACUCCCUGUGGACAGUUGACAGCCUUUUUUUUCAUAUACCUGAUAGUCUGUGCACAGCAUUGUUUUGUCUGGGAAGCAGGGAUUGCUGACAUGUAUUUUUGAAUCCAUAUAUCAAUGCUAAAACUAAUAUAGUAGUUGUUUCUUAGAGCAAUAUGUUGUUAUGUGUAGCAGAAAUAAAGUUUUCUUUGCUUAACUAAA